UUGGAUUUCAUUUUUUGAGGGGUUGUAAAGAACAAGGUUUAUGAGAAGGAUACCAAAACAGUAAAUGAAUUGAGAUUACAUUUCUGACGCAUUCACUGAAAUUGAUGGAGAUCGGAAUUUAUGCCGCACUGUGUGUCAGUGUUCUGAAGAGGUUUGAAGAAUGUUGCAAUGUUGAAGGAGGACAUUUUGAGCAUCUGAGAGAUUAAACAUUGUCUGCUUCAGAUGUGCAUAAACAAUAUGAUUGAAAGAUAGAAAUU